GGUGGGAGUGGUGGUGCAUGCCUGUAAUCCCAGUGAUUUGGGAGGCUGAGGCAGGAGGAUCGCAAGUUCAAAGCCAGAUUCAGCAAAACUGAGGUGCUAAGCAACUCAGUGAUACCCUGUCUCUA
rnacentral:sRNA from 1 species